CCGCGAUUUCUUUGACGUGUUAAUUCAUAACUUAUAGCACUCGAAUAUAAUGUAGCUGUCUAUUAGUGAAAGAACUUUCAGAAUUGGAUCAUUAGUUCCAUAGAUUACCAGCUACGUAUGAACUA